AUUGAACGCUGGCGGCAUGCUUUACACAUGCAAGUCGAACGGUAACAGGCCUUCGGGUGCUGACGAGUGGCGAACGGGUGAGUAAUGCAUCGGAACGUGCCCAGAGGUGGGGGAUAACGCAGCGAAAGCUGUGCUAAUACCGCAUGUGAUCUGAGGAUGAAAGCGGGGGACCAGGCAGCAAUGUUUGGCCUCGCGCCUUUGGAGCGGCCGAUGUCAGAUUAGGUAGUUGGUGGGGUAAAGGCCUACCAAGCCGACGAUCUGUAGCUGGUCUGAGAGGACGACCAGCCACACUGGGACUGAGACACGGCCCAGACUGCUACGGGAGGCAGCAGUGGGGAAUUUUGGACAAUGGGCGCAAGCCUGAUCCAGCAAUGCCGCGUGCGGGAAGAAGGCCUUCGGGUUGUAAACCGCUUUUGUACGGAACGAAAAGGCUCUGGCUAAUACCUGGGGCUGAUGACGGUACCGUAAGAAUAAGCACCGGCUAACUACGUG
rnacentral:rRNA from 1 species